GAUGAAGAACGUAGCGAAAUGCGAUAAGUAAUGUGAAUUGCAGAAUUCAGUGAAUCAUCGAAUCUUUGAACGCACCUUGCGCCCUUUGGCCAUUCCGAAGGGCAUGCCUGUUUGAGUAUCUUGAACACCUCAACUCUCAUGGCUCGCCAUGAUGAGCUUGGACUUUGGGGGUCUUGCUGGCCUGUGGUCGGCUCCUCUCAAAUGGAUCAGCUUGCCAGUGUUUGGUGGCAUCACAGGUGUGAUAACUAUCUGCGCUUGUGGUUUUCCAUCAGAUAACCUUCAGUGAUGGAGGUUCGCUGGAGCUCAUAAACGUCUCCCCUAAGCGGGGACAGCCCUUUGAAUGUUUGAUCUCAAAUCAGGUAGGACUACCCGCUGAACUUAAGCAUAUCAAUAAGCGGAGGA
rnacentral:misc_RNA from 1 species